GACAUAGGUGGCGAACGUUAUCCGGAAUUAUUGGGCGUAAAGAGUGCGUAGGUGGUUGAAUAAGUUACUGGUGGCAAAUCGGGGCUCAACCCCGUGGAAGUCAGUAAUACUGUUAAACUAGAGGGCUGGAGAGGUUAACGGAACUCCAUGUGUAGCGGUAAAAUGCAUAAAUAUAUGGAUGAACACCAAUUGGCGAAGGCAGUUAACUAUUCAGUUCCUGACGUUGAGGCACGAAAGCGUGGGGAGCAAGACGG
rnacentral:rRNA from 1 species